rnacentral:rRNA from 1 species
GGGUGAGUAACGCGUGAACGAUCUGUCCCAGACAGGGGGAUAACACUUGGAAACAGGUGCUAAUACCGCAUAAGACCACGUAGCUGCAUGGCUAUGAGGUAAAAGGGGAGACUCGGUUUGGGGUGAGUUCGCGUCUGAUUAGCUAGUUGGUGAGGUAACGGCCCACCAAGGCGACGAUCAGUAGCCGACCUGAGAGGGUGAUCGGCCACAUUGGAACUGAGACACGGUCCAAACUCCUACGGGAGGCAGCAGUGGGGAAUAUUGGGCAAUGGGCGAAAGCCUGACCCAGCAACGCCGCGUGAGGGAAGAAGGUUUUCGGAUUGUAAACCUCUGUUGUGGAUGACGAAGGAAGUGACGGUAAUCCACAAGGAAGCCCCGGCUAACUACGUGCCAGCAGCCGCGGUAAUACGUAGGGGGCGAGCGUUGUCCGGAAUGACUGGGCGUAAAGGGCGCGUAGGCGGCUAAAUAAGUUAGGAGUGAAAUUCCAGUUUUCAAGAUUGGAACUGCUUUUAAUACUGUAUAGCUUGAGUGCAGAAGAGGUAAGCGGAAUUCCCAGUGUAGCGGUGAAAUGCGUAGAGAUUGGGAAGAACACCAGUGGCGAAGGCGGCUUACUGGGCUGU